AGUGAACGCUGGCGGCAGGCCUAACACAUGCAAGUCGAACGGCAGCACGGCAGUAGCAAUACGUGUGGGUGGCGAGUGGCGGACGGGUGAGGAAUACAUCGGGAUCUACCCUGUUGUGGGGGAUAACGUAGGGAAACUUACGCUAAUACCGCAUAAGAACUGAGGUUGAAAGCGGCGGACCGCAAGGCGUCGCGCGAUUGGAUGAACCGAUGUCCGAUUAGCUAGUUGGCGGGGUAAAGGCCCACCAAGGCGACGAUCGGUAGCUGGUCUGAGAGGACGACCAGCCACACUGGAACUGAGACACGGUCCAGACUCCUACGGGAGGCAGCAGUGGGGAAUUUUGGACAAUGGGCGCAAGCCUGAUCCAGCCAUGCCGCGUGAGUGAAGAAGGCCUUCGGGUUGUAAAGCUCUUUCGGUGGGGAAGAAAUUGCUUCGGUUAAUACCUGGAGUAGAUGACGGUACCCGCAUAAGAAGCACCGGCUAACUACGUG
rnacentral:rRNA from 1 species